UACGGGGGGUGCAAGCGUUGUUCGGAAUUAUUGGGCGUAAAGAGCUCGUAGGCGGUUUGUCGCGUCUGCUGUGAAAUCCCGGGGCUCAACCUCGGGUCUGCAGUGGGUACGGGCAGACUGGAGUGCGGUAGGGGAGAAUGGAAUUCCUGGUGUAGCGGUGGAAUGCGCAGAUAUCAGGAGGAACACCGAUGGCGAAGGCAGUUCUCUGGGCCGUAACUGACGCUGAGGAGCGAAAGCGUGGGGAGCGAACAGG
rnacentral:rRNA from 1 species